AGGGGCGUAGCUCAGCUGGAAGAGCAGCGGUCUCCAAAACCGCAGGUCGGGGGUUCGAGUCCCUCCGCCCCUGCCA
rnacentral:tRNA from 1 species